UCUCAUGUUUUGCAGUAUAUUAGUCAUCUAGUUAAUCAACUUGCCAGACAUCAAUUUUUGAAAAUAGCUUGUCAACUGGAGCGAAAGACGAUACUUGGGGCUUUUUCAUUGCUUAAAGUGAUUGAGUCAGAGUUGGAAGGCUAUCUAUCAGCAGGCAAUGGUCGCGUGGGUCAUUGUCUCUCCCUUAUUCAAGCUGCAUCAGAAGUACAUGAACAAGGGGCAGUUGAUGACCGUGAUACAUUUCUGCAUAGUGUCCGGGAUCUUCUAAGCAUCCAUUCGAAUUCUCAAUCAGCAUUACCGACAUAUGUAUCAGCAUAUGGUAUAGUUCAGCAGAUUUCAGGAUUGCAGUCUUGACUUGCUGUCUCUUCAGUUUGAACUCGAAAACUCUCUUCCAGAAGACCGAAGAUGUAUCAAUGAACUAUAAGUGAACUUUGUUUAUCAUGUGUACAAACUUAGAUUUAAUGUACCAGAGACUGGGAAUAGAAUGAGUCAAUAUUGG